AGACUGCAGCUCUGGGGUUGGGGUUGGUUCUGUUCUGAUGAAUUGUACUCCUCCCCCAGAGCGGCCCCCCAUCCCGAGAAUCCCUUCUAAACGCAUCACUUAAUCUCUCUCACGGGCGUGUGAUUGCUUUACCGCUGAGCCAGGUAUGAAGGGGUUUGGAACCCCGGCGGCCUGGAGGCAGGAGCCCUUGGUGGGGCUGCUCAAAUGCUGCAAAACGCUGAACAUUUCAUGGAGUUUGGUGCACAAGCUGUCGUCUUGAAGGGUCUGCUUACUGAGCACCCCCCCAGCCCCAAGCCCAGCGCUUUACAUGUAAGAACCCCACUUCCUAGAGAACCACAGUAAUGCAAAAACCAAGAAAAUCGGGAAAAGUAUGCUAAAUUUUACCGCACGUACUGGCUUGAGGGUAGCUCAGCCUUUUCCUGCCUAUUUGCUGGCCCAUCCACACAACAUCUGAUCACAGCUACUACACACUGCUCGUGAUAAACAGGACUCAGAGUUCAUGCAUGAAUACGACAGUGCUGUUUCACUGGACCAAUAAGAUGCAAAGACUCCAAGCAUACUUUCUGCCAAUGUUUCACUUCAUAUGCUCUCCGAGAACAAAGAUCUUGUCUACCUUGUUCUCCACGGUCAACCCCAAAACAGCACGGUGCCUGUUCAUUCACAUACUGUUUGCUGAAUAUAGUGGAUUUAAUGGUAGUCUUCAAAAAGACGUGGGACCUGUGGACACUAUCUUGAGAAAAAGAAUGAUGGCAGAUGUAAUUCAGUUAAGUAAGAUCUUGAGAUGAGGAGAUGGUCUUGGAUAUCUGAGUGGGCCCUUCCAUGAUAAGUACCCUUAAAAGAAAAAGGCAGAGGAAGAGUUGAGAUGGACAGAAGAUCAGGAGACAGAAGGAAGGGGAAGAGACAAUGUGAGCACAGGGGCAGAGAUUGGAGCCCCCCCCUCCAGGGCCCCCAGGAGGGCCUACAGCCACCAGACACUAGGUGGAGGAAACAAAGAAAGGACUCUGCCCUGGGAGUGUGGCCCUGCUGACACCUUGAUUUCAGACAUCUGGCCUCCAAGCUCUAGGCAACCGCUAAUCUAUUCUGUCUUUAUGGAUCUACUGAUUCUGGAUAUUUCAUAUAAACGGAAUCAUGCAAUAUGUAGCCUUUUGUGUCUGGCUUCCUAAAUUUAGCAUAAUUGCAUUGCCUUUUACAUUCUUUUUUUUUUAAGAUUUUAUUCAUU